CUUAUACUCCCUUCGUCUCAAAAUUCAUGUCUUAGAUUUAUUUACAUAUAAAUUUAUCUAGUCACGUUUUAGUAUUAUGAUACAUUAAUUUUUAAACAAACCUAAGAUAAGAAUUUUGAGACGGAGGAAGUAUUAA
rfam:Hordeum vulgare subsp. vulgare, WGS project CAJW01000000 data, contig: morex_contig_44619